UACUCCUACGGGAGGCAGCAGUAGGGAAUCUUCCACAAUGGACGAAAGUCUGAUGGAGCAAUGCCGCGUGAGUGAAGAAGGGUUUCGGCUCGUAAAACUCUGUUGUUAAAGAAGAACACCUUUGAGAGUAACUGUUCAAGGGUUGACGGUAUUUAACCAGAAAGCCACGGCUAACUACGUGCCAGCAGCCGCGGUAAUA
rnacentral:rRNA from 2 species